rnacentral:rRNA from 1 species
CACUUCUAAGGAAGGCAGCAGGCGCGCAAAUUACCCAAUCCUGACUCAGGGAGGUAGUGACAAGAAAUAACAAUAAACCGGCUUAUGCCGGUUUAAUUGGAAUGAGUACAAUUUAAGCAUCUUAACGAGGAACAAUUGGAGGGCAAGUCUGGUGCCAGCAGCCGCGGUAAUUCCAGCUCCAAUAGCGUAUACUAAAGUUGUUGCAGUUAAAAAGCUCGUAGUUGGAUUUCUGUGGGGACGGAGCGGCCGGCCGCAACACGCGGUUCGAGCUAGCGCUUUCCCUACAUCCUGCCGCGAACCGUGCUACCAUUAGUUUGGUGGCGCCGGGGAUCGGCUCGAUUACUUUGAGAAAAAUAGAGUGUUCAAAGCAGGCCACACGCCUUGAAUAAGUUAGCAUGGAAUAAUAACUAAGGACUUCGGUUCUAUUUUGUUGGUGUUCGGGACUGAAGUAAUGAUUGAUAGGGACAGUUGGGGCGGUCUGUAUUCCAAAGCGAGAGGUGAAAUUCUUAGACCUUCGGAAGACAAACAGCUGCGAAAGCGUUCCGCAAGGAUGUUCCCUUUGAUCAAGAACGAAAGUUGGGGGAUCGAAGACGAUCAGAUACCGUCGUAGUCUCAACUAUAAACUAUACCAGCUAGGGAUCGGCCAACGUUAUUUUAUGCCGACUUGGUCGGCACCUUAUGAGAAAUCAAAGCAUCUGGGUUCCGGGGGGAGUAUGGUCGCAAGGCUGAAACUUAAAGGAAUUGACGGAAGGGCACCACCAGCCGUGGAGCCUGUGGCUUAAUUUGACUCAACACGGGAAAACUUACCAGGUCCAGACAUAGUAAGGAUUGACAGAUUGAUAGCUCUUUCUUGAUUCUGUGGGUGGUGGUGCAUGGCCGUUCUUAGUUGGUGGAGUGAUUUGUCUGGUUAAUUCCGUUAACGAACGAGACCCCAGCCUGCUAAAUAGCGCGCAUGAGCUUUGCUCGUGGCGAGCUUCUUAGAGGGACUAUGAUGCGCGAUAGCACAUGGAAGUUUGGGGCAAUAACAGGUCUGUGAUGCCCUUAGAUGUUCUGGGCCGCACACGGGCUACACUGGCGCCUGCAACGAGCAUAUCAGCUGGCCCGAGAGGGUCUUGGCUAAUCUUUUGAACCGGCGCCGUGCUUGGGAUUGACCUUUGCAAUUGUUGGUCAUGCAACGAGGAAUGCCUUGUAAACGCGAGUCAUCAGCUCGCAUUGAAUACGUCCCUGCCCUUUGUACACACCGCCCGUCGCUCCUACCGAUGAAUGUUCCGAUGAAAUUUUCGGAGAGCACCUGUGAACUUGGCUCUGCCUUGCGAACGGGAGGCUCAAAGUCACUUAAAUCUGAACAUUUC